rnacentral:rRNA from 1 species
UACAGGGGGGGGCAAGCGUUGUUCGGAAUUACUGGGCGUAAAGGGCUCGUAGGCGGCCAACUAAGUCACACGUGAAAUCCCCAGGCUUAACCUGGGAACUGCGUGUGAUACUGGAUGGCUUGAAUUCGGGAGAGGGAUGCAGAAUUCCAGGUGUAGCGGUGAAAUGCGUAGAUAUCUGGAGGAAUACCGGUGGCGAAGGCGGCAUCCUGGACCGACAUUGACGCUGAGGAGCGAAAGCUAGGGGAGCAAACGGGG